GAAAAUUCGAAGUAUUACCGAAUUGAAUUUCAAAAUUGAAAAGAGGUGUUUUGGGACACUCAUGAAAAAGUCGCCAUUUUUGUGUACUUCAGCUGUUCAACUAUAUUGUCUGUAACAAUAUUGUUUUCCUUGAAUGAGAUCACUCCACCUGCUCACAUACAAUUUGCAUUGACUUACCCAACUGAUCGUUUAGAACAGCACAAUAUGGUGAAAACUGAAAGGUUUUAUAAUCAAGUACUGUAAUAUUUUUUAUAUAUAAUGGAUGGUGCAGCAGGUGACAGUAAUGAUAAUGGUCUCAGUGACUCUUUCCUAUCUGGGCAAUACAUGGUUGAAGGUGAUGGUGAUGAAGGUUUAGCUUCUGGUGAGAAUGAUGAAGAACACAGAUUGGAAAAUAACGAACCGCUUAGAGAGCAAGACAGGUUUUUACCAAUAGCAAAUGUUUCAAGAAUUAUGAAAAAUUCUAUACCAAAAUCAGGAAAGAUUGCCAAAGAUGCCAAAGAAUGUGUUCAGGAGUGUGUCUCAGAGUUUAUUAGCUUUAUAACAAGCGAAGCAAGUGAAAGAUGUCAUCAAGAAAAAAGAAAGACAAUAAAUGGUGAAGACAUUCUGUUUGCCAUGUCUACGCUGGGUUUUGAUAGCUAUGUAGAACCACUGAAAUUGUAUCUUCAAAAAUACAGAGAGGCUAACAAGGGAGAUAAAUCUGUCAGUGGCCACGGAGCUGGAGGUGAUGUACAGUUGGAUGAAAUUGCAGAGGAGCCAUUUGGAGGCCAGACAUUAACAAACAACAUUUUAACAGAUCCGUCAGGUGGUCAACAAAAUGUUAUAUAUACAGCAGCUUAUCCACAAAUUAAUCAAAUAAAUCAGAUAAGUUUUGUGGAAUAGUGUCAGUUUAUGAAUAAAAAGAGAAAGAGAGAUCUGAAUUUACUGCUAUGUGACAACAGGAAAGAGAAAUUUCUGAAGUGUGGUGAUAUAUAUAUAUAUAUACAUGAUUUGAUCAUGGUUUUAUAAUUUGAUAAAAUCAAUAAAGAAAAACUAAGACAUUGACUACAGGUAGUGCUGGAAAAUAAAAUCAUGGGCAAAGCACUUUGAUUUUGAAACAUUAUUAUUAUUUAAGUAUAUUUGUAAUACUGACCUCUUACGGAAGCAAGCCUCCUUAUACAUAAACUAUGUUUCUCUUAUAAAAUGACUGUAUGUAUUAUUCUUGGUUAGUGUUAUAUUGAAAUAUGAAAUAUGUAUAUUUUUGACAAAUUACUUAUUGCGCUUAAAGUUAUUAAGUUGUUCCCCAACUCUAAAGUUAAGAGAGAAUAUUUAAUUACCAUGCUCAAUUCAGUCGUUUGUCCUUUCCAGUCUUUUCAAUCUUACCCAGCUUUAAGAGGAACUCCCUUUUUUUUUGGUAAGUUUUCAGAUUUUGUAUAUUAAAACAAGAUUAUUUAAAUUUUUAAAUUUGUGAUUAUGAUAACAUAGUAAUUAUGGUUAUAUAGGUCAUAUACAAGGUGUUGAUUUUUUACUUGCAUGAUUUUCAUGAAACUUAAGGCGAGGGUUUUUUUAAUUUGUUGGUUUAUGGAUCCGCCAACCCUAUUUUUCGAUUUUCAGAAAAAAAAUUUAAAUUGACAUUUCACGCUUUUUUAUUCCCACUGACUCUAACAAAUACAAAUAUAAAUAAAAAUAUCAACUUAGCAGCAUUUUCAUGAAAUUAAAUGCAUUAUUUUAGCAUGUUAAGCAUUUACAGAAAUAAUUACUCAUUGUGUUCAAAAAAAUAAAAAUUUAAAAAUAAUCUGUAUUUUGUGUUUCUAAAAAUAGACAAUCAUAACUGACCUUGAAAUGUUGUUUGUGCAAAUAAUUUUGUGGAACGAAACCUAUGAAUAAAACCCAUUACAAAAAGCCUGUUAUCAUAAUUUCGUAGAUUUUUCAUCUCAUAGAUGAAAUGAACCCAUCUAAACGAGAAAGACAUCAAGGUCAAAAUAAGAGAUAUCCACAAAAAAUUUGGACUUUUCUUGUUUCAUAGAUAGAAAAAAAAAUCGUCCAUUUGGAUAUAUGAAACGGGAUUGCCUGACAAAGCAUGAAACCGAUAUCUUCAUCUUUCUGGUGGACGAGUCUACCUGCUUUGGCACGGAUGAUAAAGUGAUUUGUGCGACGUGUUUGCAAUUUUUAUUUCACAUUUUUUCGUGAUUUAAGCUCAUUAAUCACUAUGUUUUCUGAAAGUUGAUAAAAAGCAAUGUGUAGCUGAUUUUUCUUGUUCAUGCAAUGACCAUUUAUUUUAUACCCCCUUUUUUCAAAAUUAUAUAUCGAAUGACAUUCAAAUUAUAUAUGUUUAAAACAGCUGAGCAAUAAUAUUUGGAGCUAAAAUUUAAGAAAUGAUGACAAAAUACCAUACCAAAAAUAUAAUUGUAAGCUGAAAUAUAUAUCUUAUUUAUACAUAUCUUGUUAGAUAAUUUUUUUCUUUUUUUUUUCAAAGGGCCGACCCAAAUUUUUCAUCUGAAAAUCCGUAAACCAACAAAUUAAAAAACCAUGGCCUAAGACAGCUUCUCCAUUUCACAUAAAUUUAAUGCACCGUUUAUAUGUGAUAUUCACAUUAAUAAUCAGUAGAAAGAGCUAACAAAAUAAUUAUACCCCCAACAAACAAAAAUUAUAUAGUUAUCAGCUUGUUUGUCCAUUUAUCCAACUGUCUUCAAGUCAUUUGUCAAAUUUAAAGCAAACUUUGUAACAGAAAGGAUAUUUUUCUCAAUUUAGUACUUGCAAAUCAUGCCCCUUGAACUUACCAUUCUAUAUGUACUUUGUGCUUUAUCAGAUUUUGAUGAAACUGUGUACAUUGAAUCUGAGACUACUGGUAGUCUCAGAUUGAAGAUACUAAUUCGCCAUUCUGAUCCAUUGACAAAGCCACCUAAGUACUUGCACUUUAUGGACCAAAAUCCUACACAUUUCAUCAUGUCACGAAACUUUGUACAUAGAUCUUAAGGGCAUACAUAACAGUUUUGAUCCCACGAUGAUUUUUUUACGAAAAUUUGCAUACAAGCUAUUUUUCACCUAGUCAGUGCAAUUAUGUAAUAAAAAAUAUACCUUCAUGUGCUACUUUAAGAGAUAAAUGGGGUCGAAAUUUUAGACAUUUACUCAAAAUUUCGUUUUUUGGAACAUUUCUAUCCUUUGGAUAGACAUACCUAACUUUUUUGUUUCAAAAGAUAAACACAAUAGGAUUUUUGUAAAAAUAUUUGGAAAAUCUCUUUUACAUAAGUAUGCUCUAAUUUUUUAUAACAAUUCUUUGGAAAUAAUUAAUUUUUAUCAAACUUUCAGGAUUUUAGGAAAAAAAACGGAAUUUUUUGCUGUAUACUUAUCUAAUUUUAAAAAAUCUCAUCGGUGACUUUUUCAUAAAAAUUGGUACAAAUAAUCUUCAUACGUAAUCAAUCCUAAUGUCAUUUUAAGACAGAGGGGUCCAUGAACUCGUUUUCAAGUUAUAUCAGUCUGAAUGAUAAAAAUAAGUCGAAAAAUGCAUGUUUUCCUGAUCUGUCGCAGUUUGACGUCGCAAAAAAAAUAACAUUUUAUGUUGGCAACGUGAUUACCUCCCCUGUAACUGUAUCGUAUGCCCUUAAUAUGAAGAUGUGAAUAUUUGUAGUGCAUCAAAAUACAGGAGCCAUUUCCUUUUUUAUACUAAGAGGGGAAGCUUGGGUAUUUGUCCUGCUCUGCAGACGGUUUAAGCUUAAUAUUUUAUAAUAUUUUAUUUUCCAAUAGGGUAUUAAUCAUAUAAGUAGGGCAUCAGAUUUACUUGCCUUACCAUUUGUUUUGUUGGUAUACAUAUGGUACAUGACUCAUCUCUAACUCUUUGACAGUUAUCGUCUCCUCUAUGACAUAGGGAUUACUAUCCGGCUGCAGCGUAAACUAUUUGUAUAUUUCAGAAGGUAGAAGACCUGGAUGCUUCAUACCUUGUAUGCAGAUACUUUAUGUUAGGAAGUUUACGUCUGUCAUAUGUCCAUUGCCCUUGACCUCAUUUUCAUGGUUAGUCACUUCUUGUAAACAAAAAUAUUUUUUUGUUAUGUGAAUUUCUCACUUAUUAUGAGUAAUAGGAUAACUAUAUUUGCUAUAUGGGUUCCUUGCAAGGUCUACAUGUCUGUCAGACAGGGUUCUUCUGACCUCAACCUCAUUUCAUGGAUCAAUGAUCAAAGUUAAAGUUAGGUUAUUAUGUCCAUUUCUCAGAUAUUAUAAGCAGUAGGUCAACUAUAUGCAGUGUAAGGAAUGAUUGUAAGGGGUACAUGUUAGUCUGGCAGGUUUCAUCUGAUCUUGACCUCAGUAGGUCAACUAUAUGCAGUGUAAGGAAUGAUUGUAAGGGGUACAUGUUAGUCUGGCAGGUUUCAUCUGAUCUUGACCUCAUUUUCAUGGUUCAUUGGUCAAUGUUAAGUUUUUAUACGACCGCAAACAAAUUUUGCGAUCAUAUAUUGGUAUGACGUUGGCGUCGUCGUCGUCCGAAGACACAUUGGUUUUCGCAACAUAACUUUAGUUUAAGUAAAUUGGAUCUCUAUGAAAUUUUACCAUAAGGUUCAAUACAACAAAAGGAAGGUUGGGAUUGAUUUUGGGGGUUAUGGUAUCAACAGUUAAGGAAAAAGGGGCCAAAAAUAAGCAUUUUUGUAACUUCAAGACAUAACUUGUGUGUAAGUGUAUGGAUCUCUCUGACAUUGUACCACAAGGUUCCAUAUCAUAAAAGGAAUGCUUGGAUUGAUUUUGGGGGUAAUAGUCACCAAAUUUUAGGAAUUAGGGGCCAAAAAGGGGCAAAAAACAAGCAUUUUUCUAGUUUCAUGACAAUAACUUGUGUGUUAGUGUAUGGAUCUUUAUGAAAUUGUACUACAAGGUACCAUAUCACAAAGGGAAGGCUGGGAUUGAUUUUGGGGGUAAUUCCCUCAAAAUUUUAGUAAUUAGGGGCCAUAAAAGGGCAAAAAAACAAGCAUUUUUCUAGUUCCAGGACAAUUACUAAGUAAGUGUAUGGAUCUUUAUGAAAUUGUUCUGCAAGGUUCCAUAUCACAAAGGGAAAGCUGGGUUUGAGUUUGGGAAUAACUUCCAGACAUAACUUGUGUGUAAGUGUAUGGAUCUCUCUGACAUUAUACCACAAGUUUCCAUAUCACAAAGGGAAUGCUGGGAUUGAUUUUGGGGGUAAUUGCCUCAAAAUUUUAGGAAUUAGGGGCCAAAAAAAGGGGCAAAAAACAAGCAUUUUUCUAGUUUCAUGAUAUUAACUUGUGUAUAAGUGUAUGGAUCUUCCUGAAAUUGUACUACAAGGUUCCAUAUCACAAAGGGAAAGCUGGAAUUGAGUUUGGGUGUAAUUGCCCAAAACGUUUAGGAAUAAGGGGCCAAAAAUAAGCAUUCUUCUAGUUUCCAGACAAUAACUUGUGUUCAAGUGUAUGGAUCUCUCUGAAAUUGUACUGCAACCUACCAUACCACAAAGGGAAGGCUGGGAUUGAUUAUGGGGGUAAUUGCCUCAUGAUUUAGGAAUUAGGGGCCAAAAAAGGGGCAAAAAACAAGCAUUUUUCUAGUUUCAGGACAAUAACUUGUGUGUAAGUGUAUGGAUCUUUAUGAAAUUGUACUACAAGGUUCCAUAUCACAAAGUAAAAGCUGGAAUUGAGUUUGGGGGUAAUUGCUGAAACGUUUAGGAAUUGGGGGCCAAAAAGGGGCCAAAAAUAAGCAUUUUUCUAGUUUCCAGACAAUAACUUGUGUUCAAGUGUAUGGAUCUCUCUGAAAUUGUACUGCAAGGUACCAUACCACAAAGAGAAGGCUGGGAUUGAUGAUGGGGGUAAUUGCCUCAAUAUUUUAGGAAUUAGGGGCCAAAAAGGGGCAAAAAACAAGCAUUUUUCUAGUUUCAGGACAAUAACUUGUGUGUAAGUGUAUGGAUCUUUCUGAUAUUGUACUACAAGGUUCCAUAUCACAAAGGGAAAGCUGGGUUUGAGUUUGGGGGUAAUUGCCCUAAUUGUUUAGGAAUUUGGGGCCAAAAAGGGGCCAAAAAACACAUUUUUAGCUCACCUGACCUGAAAGGUCAAGUGAGCUUUUCUCAUCACUUUGCGUCCGUCGUCCGUCGUCCUGCGUCCGUCGUCCGUCGUCCGUCGUCCGUAAACUUUUACAAAAAUCUUCUCCUCUGAAACUACUGGGCCAAAUUUAACCAAACUUGGCCACAAUCAUCAUUGGGGUAUCUAGUUUUAAAAAUGUGUGGCGUGACCCAGUCAACCAACCAAGAUGGCCGCCACGGCUAAAAAUAGAACAUAGGGGUAAAAUGCAGUUUUUAGCUUAUAACUCAAAAACCAAAGCAUUAAGAGCAAAUCUGACAUGUGGUAAAAUUGUUCAUCAGGUCAAGAUCUAUCUGCCCUGAAAUUUUCAGAUGAAUCGGACAACCCGUUAUUGGGUUGCUGCCCCUGAAUUGGUAAUUUUAAGGAAAUUUUGCUGUUUUUGGUUAUUAUCUUGAAUAUUAUUAUAGAUAGAGAUAAACUGUAAACAGCAAUAAUGUUCAGCAAAGUAAGAUUUACAAAUAAGUCAAUAUAACCGAAAUGGUCAGUUGACCCCUUUAGGAGUAAUUGCCCUUUAUAGUCAAUUUUUAACCAUUUUUCGUAAAUCUUAGUAAUCUUUUACAAAAAUCUUCUCCUCUGAAACAACUGGGCCAAAUUAAACCAAACUUGGCCACAAUCAUCAUUGGGGUAUCUAGUUUAAAAAAUGUGUGGCGUGACCCGGCCAACCAACCAAGAUGGCCGCCACAGCUAAAAAUAAAACAUAGGGGUAAAAUGCCGUUUUUGGCUUAUAACUCAAAAACCAAAGCAUUUAGAGCAAAUCUGACAUGAAGUAAAAUUGUUUAUCAGGUCAAGAUCUAUCUGCCCUGAAAUUUUCAGAUGAAUCGAACAACCUGUUGUUGGGUUGCUGCCCCUGAAUUGGUAAUUUUAAGGAAAUUUUGCUGUUUUUGGUUAUUAUCUUGAAUAUUAUUAUAGAUAGAGAUAAACUGUAAACAUCAAUAAUGUUCAGCAAAGUAAGAUUAACAAAUAAGUCAACAUGACUGAAAUGGUCAGUUGACUCCUUUAGGAGUUAUUGCCCUUUAUAGUCAAUUUUUAACAAUUUUUCGUAAAUCUUAGUAAUCUUUUACAAAAAUCUUCUCCUCUGAAACUCCGUGGCCAAAUUAAACCAAACUUGGCCACAAUCAUCAUUUGGUUAUCUAGUUUUAAAAAUGUGUGGCGUGACCUGGUCAACCAACCAAGAUGGCCGCCACGGCUAAAAAUAGAACAUAGGGGUAAAAUUCAGUUUUUGGCUUUUAACUCAAAAACCAAAGCAUUUAAAGCAAAUCUGACAUGAAAUAAAAUUGUUUAUCAGGUCAAGAUCUAUCUGCCCUGAAAUUUUCAGAUGAAUCGGACAACCCGUUAUUGGGUUGCUGUCCCUGAAUUGGUAAUUUUAAGGAAAUUUUGCUGUUUUUGGUUAUUAUCUUGAAUAUUAUUAUAGAUAGAGAUAAACUGUAAACAGCAAUAAUGUUCAGCAAAGUAAGAUUUACAAAUAAGUCAAUAUAACCGAAAUGGUCAGUUGACCCCUUUAGGAGUAAUUGCCCUUUAUAGUCAAUUUUUAACCAUUUUUCGUAAAUCUUAGUAAUCUUUUACAAAAAUCUUCUCCUCUGAAACAACUGGGCCAAAUUAAACCAAACUUGGCCACAAUCAUCAUUUGGUUAUCUAGUUUUGAAAAUGUGUGGCGUGACCUGGUCAACCAACCAAGAUGGCCGCCACGGCUAAAAAUAGAACAUAGGGGUAAAAUUCAGUUUUUGGCUUUUAACUCAAAAACCAAAGCAUUUAAAGCAAAUCUGACAUGAAGUAAAAUUGUUUAUCAGGUCAAGAUCUAUCUGCCCUGAAAUUUUCAGAUGAAUCGGACAACCCGUUGUUGGGUUGCUGCCCCUGAAUUGGUAAUUUUAAGGUGAUUUUGCUGUUUUUGGUUAUUAUCUUGAAUAUUAUUAUAGAUAGAGAUAAACUGUAAACAGCAAUAAUGUUCAGCAAAGUAAGAUUUACAAAUAAGUCAAUAUAACCGAAAUGGUCAGUUGACCCCUUUAGGAGUAAUUGCCCUUUAUAGUCAAUUUUUAACCAUUUUUCGUAAAUCUUAGUAAUCUUUUACAAAAAUCUUCUCCUCUGAAACAACUGGGCCAAAUUAAACCAAACUUGGCCACAAUCAUCAUUUGGUUAUCUAGUUUUGAAAAUGUGUGGCGUGACCUGGUCAACCAACCAAGAUGGCCGCCACGGCUAAAAAUAGAACAUAGGGGUAAAAUUCAGUUUUUGGCUUUUAACUCAAAAACCAAAGCAUUUAAAGCAAAUCUGACAUGAAGUAAAAUUGUUUAUCAGGUCAAGAUCUAUCUGCCCUGAAAUUUUCAGAUGAAUCGGACAACCCGUUGUUGGGUUGCUGCCCCUGAAUUGGUAAUUUUAAGGUGAUUUUGCUGUUUUUGGUUAUUAUCUUGAAUAUUAUUAUAGAUAGAGAUAAACUGUAAAAAACAACAAAUGUCGGCAAAGUAAGAUCUACAAAUAAGUCAACCUGACCGAAAUUGUCAGUUGACCCCUUUAGGAGUUAUUGCCCUUUAUAGUCAAUUUUUAACCAUUUUUUCGUAAAUCUUAGUAAUCUUUUACAAAAAUCUUCUCCUCUGAAACAACUGGGCCAAAUUAAACCAAACUUGGCCACAAUCAUCAUUGGGGUAUCGAGUUUAAAAAAUGUGUGGCGUGACCCGGCCAACCAACCAAGAUGGCCGCCACAGCUAAAAAUAAAACAUAGGGGUAAAAUGCCGUUUUUGGCUUAUAACUCAAAAACCAAAGCAUUUAGAGCAAAUCUGACAUGAAGUAAAAUUGUUUAUCAGGUCAAGAUCUAUCUGCCCUGAAAUUUUCAGAUGAAUCGAACAACCUGUUGUUGGGUUGCUGCCCCUGAAUUGGUAAUUUUAAGGAAAUUUUGCUGUUUUUGGUUAUUAUCUUGAAUAUUAUUAUAGAUAGAGAUAAACUGUAAACAUCAAUAAUGUUCAGCAAAGUAAGAUUAACAAAUAAGUCAACAUGACUGAAAUGGUCAGUUGACUCCUUUAGGAGUUAUUGCCCUUUAUAGUCAAUUUUUAACAAUUUUUCGUAAAUCUUAGUAAUCUUUUACAAAAAUCUUCUCCUCUGAAACUCCGUGGCCAAAUUAAACCAAACUUGGCCACAAUCAUCAUUUGGUUAUCUAGUUUUAAAAAUGUGUGGCGUGACCUGGUCAACCAACCAAGAUGGCCGCCACGGCUAAAAAUAGAACAUAGGGGUAAAAUUCAGUUUUUGGCUUUUAACUCAAAAACCAAAGCAUUUAAAGCAAAUCUGACAUGAAAUAAAAUUGUUUAUCAGGUCAAGAUCUAUCUGCCCUGAAAUUUUCAGAUGAAUCGGACAACCCGUUAUUGGGUUGCUGUCCCUGAAUUGGUAAUUUUAAGGAAAUUUUGCUGUUUUUGGUUAUUAUCUUGAAUAUUAUUAUAGAUAGAGAUAAACUGUAAACAGCAAUAAUGUUCAGCAAAGUAAGAUUUACAAAUAAGUCAAUAUAACCGAAAUGGUCAGUUGACCCCUUUAGGAGUAAUUGCCCUUUAUAGUCAAUUUUUAACCAUUUUUCGUAAAUCUUAGUAAUCUUUUACAAAAAUCUUCUCCUCUGAAACAACUGGGCCAAAUUAAACCAAACUUGGCCACAAUCAUCAUUUGGUUAUCUAGUUUUGAAAAUGUGUGGCGUGACCUGGUCAACCAACCAAGAUGGCCGCCACGGCUAAAAAUAGAACAUAGGGGUAAAAUUCAGUUUUUGGCUUUUAACUCAAAAACCAAAGCAUUUAAAGCAAAUCUGACAUGAAGUUAAAUUGUUUAUCAGGUCAAGAUCUAUCUGCCCUGAAAUUUUCAGAUGAAUCGGACAACCCGUUGUUGGGUUGCUGCCCCUGAAUUGGUAAUUUUAAGGUGAUUUUGCUGUUUUUGGUUAUUAUCUUGAAUAUUAUUAUAGAUAGAGAUAAACUGUAAAAAACAACAAAUGUCGGCAAAGUAAGAUCUACAAAUAAGUCAACCUGACCGAAAUUGUCAGUUGACCCCUUUAGGAGUUAUUGCCCUUUAUAGUCAAUUUUUAACCAUUUUUUCGUAAAUCUUAGUAAUCUUUUACAAAAAUUUUCUCCUCUGAAACUACUGGGCCAAGUUAAUUAUAGAUAGAGAUAAUUGUGAGCAGGAAAAAUGUUCAGUAAAUUAAGAUGUACAAACACAUCACCAUCACCAAAACACAAUUUUGUCAUGAAUCCAUCUGCGUCCUUUGUUUAAUAUUCACAUAGACCAAGGUGAGCGACACAGGCUCUUUAGAGCCUCUAGUUAGCUCACCUGGCCCGAAGGGCCAAGUGAGCUUUUCUCAUCACUUAGCGUCUGUCGUCCGUCGUCCGGCGUCGUCCGUCGUCGGCGUUAACUUUUUACAUUUUGAACUUCUUCUAGAGAACCACUGAAUGGAAUGAAACCAAACAUGGCAUGAAUGUUCCUUAUGAGGUGCUGACCAAGUGUUGUUACUUUGUAGCCGAUCCAUCAUCCAAGAUGGCCGCCAGCGGGGGACUUAGUUUAACAUAGGACCCUAUGGGAAAUGCAUACAAAUGACUUCUUUUAGAGAACCACUGAAUGGAAUAAAACCAAACAUGGCAUGAAUGUUCCUUAUAAGGUGCUCACCAAGUGUUGUUACUUUGUAGCCGAUCCAUCAUCCAAGAUGGCCGCCAGCGGGGGACUUAGUUUAACAUAGGACCCUAUGGGAAAUGCAUACAAAUGACUUCUUUUAGAGAACCACUGAUUGGAAUAAAACCAAACAUGGCAUGAAUGUUCCUUAUGAGGUGUUGACCAUGUGUUGUUACUUUGUAGCCGAUCCAUCAUCCAAGAUGGCCGCCAUCGGGGAACUUAGUUUAACAUAGGACCCUAUGGGAAAUACAUACAAAUGUCUUCUUUUAGAGAACCACUGAAUGGAAUGAAACCAAACAUGGCAUGAAUGUUCCUUAUGAGGUGCUGACCAAGUGUUGUUACUUUGUAGCCGAUCCAUCAUCCAAGAUGGCCGCCAGCGGGGGACUUAGUUUAACAUAGGACCCUAUGGGAAAUACAUAAAAAUGUCUUCUUUUAGAGAACCACUGAAUGGAAUGGAACCAAACAUGGCAUGAAUGUUCCGUAUGAGAUGCUGACCAAGUGUUGUUACUUUGCAGUCGGUCCAUCAUCCAAGAUGGCCGCCAGCGGGGGACUUAGUUUAACAUAGGACCCUAUGGGAAAUACAUACAAAUGUCUUCUUUUAGAGAACCACUGAAUGGAAUGAAACCAAACAUGGCAUGAAUGUUCCUUAUGAGGUUCUGACCAAGUGUUGUUACUUUGUAGCAGAUCCAUCAUCCAAGAUGGCCGCCAGCGGGGGACUUAGUUGAACAUAGGACCCUAUGGGAAAUACAUACAAAUGUCUUCUUUUAGAGAACCAAUAAAUGGAAUGGAACCAAACAUGGCAUGAAUGUUCCUUAUGAGAUGUUGACCAAGUGUUGUUACUUUGCAGCCGAUCCAUCAUCCAAGAUGGCCGACAGAGGGGGACUUAGUUUAACAUAGGACCCUAUGGGAAAUACAUACAAUUGUCUUCUUUUAGAGAACCACUGAAUGGAAUUGAACCAAACAUGGCAUGAAUGUUCCUUAUGAGUUGCUGACCAAGUGUUGUUACUUUGCAGUCGAUCCAUCAUCCAAGAUGGCCGCUAGGGGGGGGGGCUUAGUUUAACAUAGGACCCUAUGGGAAAUACAUACAAAUGUCUUCUUUUAGAGUACCACUGAAUGGAAUGAAACCAAACAUGGCAUGAAUGUUCCUUAUGAAGUGCUGACCAAGUGUUGUUACUUUGUUGCCGAUUUACUGUUCAAGAUGGCCACCAGGAUAUUUUAUUAAAUAACGGGACCAAUAUUAAUCAAAAUUUGGCCUCAAUCAUUAUUUGGGUAUCUGUUAUGAUUUUUAUCUAUCUUUACAUGAUUUCUAAAACCAAAGUAGAGUCAGGUGAGCGACACAGGCUCUUGAGAGCCUCUAGUUCUAGUUUCCAGACAAUAACUUGUGUUCAAGUGUAUGGAUCUCUCUGAAAUUGUACUGCAAGGUACCAUACCACAAAGGGAAGGCUGGGAUUGAGUUUGGAGGUGAUGAAUCAUAAGGGGGUUCAAAAAAUUUGGGGGGGGGGAUUUUUUUUUUUUUCAUUUUUUUUCUUUUUUUCCUUUUUUUUCUUUUUUUCCUUUUUUUUUUCUUUUAAAAUUUUCUAUUUUAAGUUGGUUAUUUCUGAUUUAUAUUUAAAAGCAAAUAAUAAUGAUAUGGUAGGAGAUACACACCAAACAGGAUGUGUAAAUUAUUAUAUAAUAAGUAUUGUGCAAUAGCAAGAAAUUUUCAAUUGCACAGUAUUGCACAAUAGCAAGAAAUCUUCAAUUGCACGGUAUUGCGCAAUAGCAAGAAAUCUUCAAUUGCACAGUAUUGUGCAAUAGCAAGAAAUUGUCAAUUGUACAGUAUUGCGCAAUAGCAAGAAAUAUUUAAUUGCACAGUAUUGUGCAAAAGAAGAUACUUCGUAUAAAUUGCUUAUUUCUUGACCAAUUUCAAUGGGGUUUUAUUCUUGAAUUCUUGGGGUUCUUUAAUAUGCUGAAUCUAACCGUGUAUUUAGUUUUUGGAUUUUGGGCCCCGUUUUUAAAUUGGUCCACAUUGAGGUCCAAAGGGUCCAAAAUUAAACUUUGUUUGAUUUUUAUCAAAAAUUGAAUUAUUGGGGUUCUUUGAUAUGCCGAAUCUAACCGUGUAUUUAGGUUUUUAAUUUUUGGUUUUGUUUUCAAAUUGGUCUACAUAAAGGUCCAAAGGGUCCAAAAUUAAACUUAGUUUGAUUUUAACAAAAAAUGAAUUCUAAGGGUUCUUUGAUAUGCUGAAUCUAAACAUGUAUUUAGAUUUUUGAUUAUGGGCCCAGUUUUCAAGUUGGUCAAAAUCGGGGUCCAAAAUUAAACUUUGUUUGAUUUCAACAAAAAUUGAAUAUAUGGGGUUCUUUGAUAUGCUGAAUCUAACCAUGUAUUUAGAUUUUUGAUUUUUGGGCCCCGUUAUCAACUUUGUCCACAUUGAGGUCAAAAGGGUCCAAAAUUAAACUUUGUUUGAUUUCAUCAAAAUUUGAAUUCUUGGGGUUCUUUGAUAUGCUGAAUCUAACCAUGUUUUUAGAUUUUGGAUAUUGGACCAUAAUAGGUGAAUGUACAAUUUAAAAUUUUUAAGUUCUUAGACCACAUUCAUUCUGUGUCAGAAACCUAUGCUGUGUCAAAUAUUUAAUCACAAUCCAAAUGCAAAGCUGUAUCAAGCUUGAAUGUUGUGUCCAUACUUGCCCCAACUGUUCAGGGUUCGACCUCUGCGGUCGUAUCAAGCUGCGCCCUGCGGAGCAUUUUAUUAAAAUACAAAAUGACAUUUUGGAUUUUUUUCCUUUUCUUUGGUAAAUUGUUUGAAGAAUUUAGUGGUAGGUUUGUUUGUCAUUCUUGAAGAUAUUGAUUUGAUAAUUAGUAUAUAGUUUUAUCAUGACAAGUUACAGAUCAAGUUGGAAUUUUGUUCCAGAUGAUAAUUUUGUGCAGAGUUAUGGUCUUUGGACAUAGAAAAUUCACUUAAAUAAUCAGUUUUCAACAGUUUUUUUUGUCAUGCUUGAAGAUUUUGACCUGAUUUUUUUAUGUAGUUUACACAAUGACAAGUUAUAGAUCAAGUUAGAAUUUCGUUCCAUUACAAUGAAUUUGUAACCGGUAGGGGACUAUGUAUUUCCAUGCAAUACUCACAGAAUGCUUGUUAUAUAUAUAAAGUCUGAUUACACUAAUAUUUUUAAAUAGUUUUCUCCUGUUAUCAAAUUACCGGUAUGACAAAGAAUAUGGUAAAUAUCUUAUCUCAGAAUUAUAAUUGGAGUGACAUAUUUAUUUGAAAAUUUUCUGUUUCCUAAGUGCUGAUGAUUAUAAGCUAUAUUUUUUGACAUUUUGAAGAUCAUUACAGAUAAGUUUUAUAGAUUUUUAAAAGACAUUGUAUUAAUUAUAAAUAAAAUUUUGGAUUUUUA